rnacentral:rRNA from 1 species
GCAAGUCGAGCGGUAAGGCUUUACACUUAGUAUUUGAUCAAUGUAACCUCGGUUACGAGAGCGAUCCAUUAUUGAACCCGGCUGGGGGAUUAGUGGUGAGUGAGAUCGAGUAUCAAGUGUAGAGUACACGAGCGGCGGACGGGUGAGUAACGCGUGGGAAUCUACCCUAAACUGAGGGAUAAGCACCGGAAACGGUGUCUAAUACCGCAUAUGGUCUUCGGAUUAAAGCUUCGGCGGUUUAGGAAGAGCCCGCGUAAGAUUAGCUAGUUGGUGAGGUAAUGGCUCACCAAGGCGACGAUCUUUAACUGGUUUGAGAGGAUGAUCAGUCACACUGGAACUGAGACACGGUCCAGACUCCUACGGGAGGCAGCAGUAAGGAAUUUUCCACAAUGGGCGAAAGCCUGAUGGAGCAACGCCGCGUGCAGGAUGAAGGCCCUAGGGUUGUAAACUGCUUUUAUAUGUGACGAAUAUGACGGUAGCAUAUGAAUAAGGAUCGGCUAACUCCGUG